GUGGGAAAAGGUAUGAGUCAGUUUUAUUUUGGCCGUUACACUGUUUAGACGUGUCGGGAUUACGUGUGUUUGUUUUCGUGUAUAAUUUAAGGUUACGUACGAAUUUCGUGUUCAAAAUAUUACGCAUUUAAUCGUGAUUCUUUAAAAUACAUUUAUUUAUCAGUGUUUGUAAUAUUUUCAUUUAUUUAUCAGUGUUUUAAAUACGUUCUUUCACAAGUAUAACAUUGUGGCAACAAUUUCGCGCGGUUUUAUUCGCGAGUGCCAGUGUAUUUCGCCAUUUUUAUGGACGGAUGAGAAACUGCAUCGUCACUGUGCUAUCUACGAACAAUGUUUUAUUACUUUCACAUCUUAUAUGACGAUGUGCACAAUAAAUUCUCUAGAGUGGACCAUAAAACCAUCAAUCGUAAUAUUCUUCGCAUCAAUGGUAAUUAAUCAUGCCGGUCGUGCCAGCCGAGGGUGCCGGCCAACUCGAGGACCUUGACGAGCCUCCAGAGCCCCGUGUCCGCGGAGGGAGCGGAAGGGCCAGCCUUAUGAAACCCCUGGUCGUCCUCGCCCUUCCUGGCAUGUAUCUUUUCUACAAGUACAGCCAGUACAGGAGGGAGCAGCGCGAGUUGUCGCGGAGGCGGGUCACCGAGAGGGAGCUUCAACAUCUUCA